rnacentral:tRNA from 14 species
GCGGGAAUAGCUCAGUUGGUAGAGCACGACCUUGCCAAGGUCGGGGUCGCGAGUUCGAGUAUCGUUUCCCGCUCCA